CCGAAUUGGUGCUCGGAAUCGAAGAGUGAAAAUUGUGUGUCUGCGUCAAGCUUUUCCAAAAACCUCUGUCGAUCGCUUUCCGAAGCUGUUCGUUAUCUCUUCAACACUUUAACUCUCCUCGAAACCACCCCAAACUAAACCAGAAUGCCGGCAGCAGCACCCCCGGAAAAUGGUGCGGGCGUACCAAAAACCGAGCUGCAGGAGCUCCAAAUUAAACAGCAGCAGGUGGUCGAUGAGUCCUUGGACAGUACCCGCCGUAUGCUGGCACUAUGUGAGGAGAGCAAGGAAGCCGGGAUUCGAACCCUGGUGGCCCUUGACGAUCAGGGAGAACAAUUGGACCGAAUCGAGGAGGGCAUGGACCAGAUCAAUGCCGACAUGCGUGAAGCUGAGAAAAAUCUGAGUGGCAUGGAAAAAUGCUGUGGUAUCUGUGUCUUACCGUGCAACAAAAGCGCAUCCUUUAAAGAGGACGAUGGUACCUGGAAGGGUAAUGAUGACGGUAAGGUGGUGAACAAUCAGCCCCAGCGAGUAAUGGACGAUCGCAAUGGAUUGGGCCCGCAGGCUGGUUACAUCGGCAGGAUCACGAACGAUGCCCGGGAAGAUGAAAUGGAGGAGAACAUGGGUCAGGUGAAUACGAUGAUCGGUAAUCUGCGAAACAUGGCGCUCGAUAUGGGCUCCGAGCUGGAGAAUCAGAACCGACAGAUCGACAGAAUCAAUCGCAAGGGCGCAUCAAAUGAGGACAGGAUAAAGGCGGCCAAUGAAAAAGCGCACUCGCUUCUCAAAUAAAAAGGGUACCGAGUAUAUAUAUAGCAGUGCAUAUAUACAAUAUACACACCUAUCUAUACAUAUAUAUAUACAUAUACUUGUAUGGUUAUCGUUAUUAUUUUACCUCCUCCAAUUUCGGAUAUCGAAACGAACAAAACACGAAAAAUGGAGAAUCCAACGCCACCAGGAUAGCAGCGGCCAACGAGCGGGCUCACGAUCUGCUGAAAUAAGCUGUUUACGCACUCACUAUCGCUGUUGGUUUUUGAGCGACGGAAGGACGUCAAGCGACACACAGACAACAGGACAAGCAGAUGCGUUUGUGGUUGAGCAGUGUAAUCUAUUCGAGUUAUGUGUGUGGCCCUGCCUGUGGGUGCAUGGCUUAGAGGAUAGCGAUAUUGAAUCAAAUGCGCUGAGCGAGAUCCACCUACGAUUUACAACAAAAGCAUGAAAACUGGACACACGAAUACAAAACGAAACAAAAAAACCAAACGGCAUACACAGAUGCAAAAUUCACACUUGCAACCGGACGUUAGACUGCUUUGCAUUUAAAUGAGCGCUAAAGGACGAGACGGGAAUCAAAAAAUGGGAGUGUGUCAAUCAUUGCCACCGCUUGCUGAUUAGUGUAAGGACGUUCUAGGCUUAAACGAGUAACCGUUGGUCAUUUGCCCGUAAUGGUACGGAUCGAGCGCAUAAAUUUUACCCCCCCAUUACCCUGAGCAGUAGGUACACAUGAGACAGCGAACUGCAGACAAGUCGACACGGCAGACAAAAGCCGCGCGACAAAUAAAUGAUGGUGGGCGGUGAAAAUAUUACAACGAUACUCUUAGGUUUCAUUAGGUUGUGCAUUUUUGCGUUUAGAUUCCAUUUAUACUCUCUGCAUCAGCAAAGAAAAGGCAAACGGUUGAGCCGCGCCGUGCUGCAGCACGGAGCUGUUUGGGGAUGUUUGGGUUUUUGUUUCAUUCCUUUCCACUUCUACGCUACCGGGACCAAAGUAUCCUGCCCUUCCGUUCAAAUGCUUUCAUUUAUGUCGGACGAUUUUUGACUCGUCCUUGGUUUGAUGCGGUGCAAAGGUAAUGAUCGAUAUUAUUCUUACACAAUUGUUGUUUGGCACUACCCGCCCCGUAACUAGCGUUAGACAUACAGUUCGUUUUGUCCGUUAAAAAAAAAGCUUUUAGGCACAGUAGGAUAGGAUAACAAUCUUCUCCCAUGUUUGUCUGGACGGUUGUCUGUUUUAUGUUUUGCUUCCCCCAGUGUGUGGUGCAUCCCGAAGUGGGCAAAGUUACGUUGUGGAUCAUUCAAAGUGAAAGUGAUCAGUCAGCCGUUGAAGGCAUUUUAAUCGUUGCAGUAUAGUGUAGAUCUUCCCAUCCUAAUGCCAUAUGAAUGGUUAGGGCUGUUGGACGCUUACAGCACACAAUGUGCACAACACUUUAACGUUUCCUUUGCUUGGGCUAUGUUCGGAACGCGAACACUACGUUCGAGUGGUUUCCCUUUACUUCCCACCGAGACCGGUAAGCGAGAGUGAUCGAAUAAUAAGUCCAGUCAAGAUGUAGCGUAAGCAUCAUAUCACUGGGCGAUAUGCUGGCUGGCCGUUGUUGCAAAUGCCAUUUUGAUGAACGUUACCGGACAAAUAAACGAAAAAUGUGCAUUACUCUUUUCGUCUGAAAAAAAAAGAAAGAUUCUGACGUAUCAAGUGCGGUUACUCUCUGCUAGGCAAAUCGUUUUCGUGUAAAUUUCUUGUAAUUCACGAACCGUUCUUGUGUGCUAAUCACUACUCCGUGUCGUUAAAGCUUUAGUUCUCAGCAGUGGCUAACGUUGAGAUAUCUCGUUUUUUUUGUUGUUGUUAAUUGAUAAACAGAAUGCUUCACAUGCCUAGCUAAACUAGCGACGUUACAUAGUGGCAGUAAAGCAUUAGUUCGGUAAUCGGCAUAAUUGAAUCUUUCACGUGUUCUAGACGUUGUGCAUUUAGGAUGGGGUCCUCAUCCCCACAAUCAUCGAUCAGUUCUUGUUACCGUAGCCCAGCACCUGGCGUACGCUAGUUCACUAACAAGAUGCCACAGAUAUAGUAAAGAAACCUGUCAACUGCAUCGCCUGGAUGAAACCCAAUUGCUAAGACAUUUUUCAAUCCAACGGAAUGAUAAUGGUGGGUUGCUAAUGUUUUGGAUUAGCUUUCCAACUUCUCCCACCUUCAAGCGGCAGGACGCAACAAAUCGAACCGUGGAAAAACGCCGAGAAUGUUUGAUUGUCCUGUGGGUGGCACUUGCUGGUCUCAUUUUGCAAGCAACUUUUUAUCUCGAUAAUAGCUUCAAUCUCAAAUUAUAACGUAAACAAACAAAACAAAAAAAACCCAGUGUAGUAUAAAACUGCAUAAAACGAAACAGCAACCAAUAGCCACCAAACGUUGGAAUAGUGAAAAGUGAAAAUUACUACAAAAAAAAAAAUAAAGACAAGGGCGCGUACUUUAAUAAUAAAUAUAAAUAUACAAAACUUAUACAUUAUUAAUGAUACAUUAUUUACUUAGCAAAAGCAGUGACGAGCGAGUAAAUGUGCAAGGGACGCGUUUAUAUCAUAUCAAGGCAAGGCAGACGUAAUACAGACGUAACACACACACAACCAAGAAUUCUACAAAACCAUGUAAUUGGGGGUUGCGCAAAAAAAGCAAGCAUCAAACAAACACACAAACGAAAAAUGAAGGAAAAUUUAAACUAGCAAAACAAAACACCGAAGUGAAUUGUAUCGCAAAGCAAAGCUAAUUAAUAAGAAGCAAAGUAGGUGCAGGCGUUAACGUGUGUUGCGACACUUUCCAUUUGUGUGACAAACAUUGUGGCAAAGAAAAGAAAAGCAAACUUGCACACAAAUGGAGGCUACAGUGUAAUAGAUAAAGAAAAAAGAUAAAAGAUUGCAAUAUUAUUGUGGUAUCGUACCGAUCGGAAAUGCUCGGAAAUGCUAUUGAGAGAGAAACAACAGGAAAGCAACGCAAACAAAAAACAAAAAAAAAACAAACAAGCAUUAAUCCAAGGCUAUAUUAUAGACAAAGUCCA